rnacentral:lncRNA from 1 species
GGGUGGGCACAUGUUUUCUAGACUUAGGAAGCUUGUAAGUGACCUUGAAGUUCCUUGGGGAGGUUAACCAUUGCAUUGAAAAUUGGAGGUACUUAAGCACACUUUAAAACUGUCAUUUACUCACAUUAAAGUGGAGUUUUAUUGGGAUAUUGAAGAGUUAGGAAUGAGAAUCUGAAGUUAGUAAUGUAGGGUCUCUUUGGGUGGUUAGUGAAGGGUUGGUGAGGUUUAGAGUUAGUUUCUACUUAAGUGUGUAAGUUUAUGUACGUAGGGUUGAAAAACAAAACACUUGGAUAGUGGAAAAGAAAGAGAACCGUGAGUUGGAGAGGCACUUUUGGAGAGCAACCAAGUUGGUGAGAGAAAAGAAGAGCCAACCUAGCCUUGGAGUUUUUGGACGUCACUUGUGGGAGACCAAGAGGAGUGAAAGCUUGUUGUAUAGUGAGAAAAGAAAACUAAGAGCCUUUGGAAGCUAGCUUGGAUUUGAGGUAAGGGGUUUAACUUGGGGUAUAACAUGGUGUAUGAUGGGUAGAAGCUUAACAUGUUGUUGUAUGCACUCUCUUUUUGUGUUAAGUUUCAUGUGAUUAUUAAAAUGCAAUUUUAGAUUUUGGGUUGUGAAGGGGCCUUGGUUUGUAUAUAUAUUGGUAUUUUCGUUUUGAUGUUGUAAUAGGUAUACCUUGAGUUAUACAAAUUCAUACUUUAUGAAAUAUGUUGUUGUUGUAAUGGGUAUAUAUGUUUGGGCACUUGAGAUGUUGCAUGGGUAUUGAAAAAGUUUCAUGGGUACACUUAAAAUCAUGAUUAUGUGGUGUGUAUCUUGUUAUAUUUAUCGCAUAUACUUUUUAUACAUUUUUUGGGGACUCAUCUACACUCUUGGAUCAAGAGUGUGAGUAAGAGGGUAUUGAGAAUUCUCUUCUAUUGUUGGAAGAGAAAAGAGUGAGUUAUGAGAAUGAGAGGAUUGAAAGUGAUGUUUUGGUGAAGUUGGGGUACAUGGGUUGAUGAAAACAAUGAAGAUGAAUGGAAGUUUGGGGGCUUGGGGAAAGAAGAACAUAAAAAGAGAAGAAUGGAAGUGGAAGGUGGAGAUGGGCACAUUACAAAUCACUAAACAGAGGCAAGGAGAAGUAAUAAGAGUCUUGGGGUGGGAGUUGAGAAAGAAAGGAAUGGAGUAGAGUCUUGGAGUUGACUUGGUAUUAUAUGAUUGUGUGAACGCCAUGAUAAGCAUUGAGAAUGAAUGUAUGUGUGCAUCUUGACUGAAUUCUAUUGAUGAGCAUAUUUGAGUGAUUACUUGUAUUGAAAGAAAAAGAGUUUUGAAUGUGAUUGAACCAUUGUGAUGAUUGGUGGAAGAUUGAGUUGCAUUUUGUUUGCUUGAGGACAAGCAAAGUUCUAAGUUUGGGGUUGUGAUAACGGUUC